CAUCAAAAGAACACAGAAGCCAGCCUGAAGACGCUCCCACUGGCUCAAUACAAGAUGAUUUGAGAAUGAAAAUUGGUAAUGAUGAUGGUUUGUACAAUAAAGGGGAAGAUUAAAGAAUCUCUCUGAAACAUGACAGACAAGUUGGCAAAUUCAUGUCAUGCCAGCCUGCCCCCACACCCGCAUUCUCCUCAGCCCUCCUAGCUGUAUCUGCUUCUUCUCUACAAACAUAAGAAGAAAUAGAAGUCUAGAGGGAAUAAUAAUAGCCUGAUACCCCAUACUGAUAGCCUGAUGAAACCACCUGCUUAUUGUCUGACCUGCUUUUCAUCUGUGAACACAUAAAAAUGUGGCUCUGUUCAUUAACAUUAAGGACAUAGAACGGGGAAACCUUGGCUGCUAAAAUCAAAGGCCAUGACAAGUUUGCUGUUUGAAGUCACAUCAGUGAGAAUGGAACAAGCCACUCUUGCCUGGAAGAUGGAACAUCCCAGUCUUGCCUCAGCAGCAUGCGGGUCCCUUGAC
ensembl:lncRNA novel transcript